AUGCAGGCCGAGUGUCCAGAGUUUCGAGGUGGUCUUCAAUUUUCCGAUCAGUUCCUGCGGUACCACCAGACAGGUUGAAGGCGGCUCAAUGGUGUACACCAAUGCUGUCCGUGCCUACAACUCCAGCUAUGGUGAAAUCACGCGCCAAUCCCACUUCAAGCUGGAGGUGGGCUGCCACAUGCAGCAGAACU